GUUUGAAAUUUCUUGGCUUCCAAGGUUAUACUUGUGGAUUCCUCCAUAGAUGUUUAUCAAUGGAUAGUGCGAGGGUAAAUUCUUACCUACAUUCCGUACCAAUAAGAAGUUUUUAAUAGGUAUUUAUACGUGAGAUAUACCAUGAUUUGAGAUAGGACCCGGGUGUAGAUAAGUAUUUUUCUAGUGUACAGGUUACAAGAACUUUAAGCUGUAAGUCUGUAACAUUUUCCCCACCGACAUACAUUCUCUUAUAAAUUGGUGUUUAUUUAGCUCUCAUGCCAUCUAUUGACUAGGCUUGAUGGAUUACAUGGUCAUUUUGUUUCAUAACGUACUCCUUGCUUCACAUUCCCGUUCAAUUUCACAGAGCGGAGAGUCAUGGAAGACCAUAAAAUUUUUAAUUCAAAUUUCAAUACUCAACUCAACAAGCGUUUAUCCAAAAAUUUGGGGU
rnacentral:misc_RNA from 1 species